rnacentral:lncRNA from 1 species
GCUCCACCUCUGCUGCUGUGACCUGCUCCUCCUCACCACCCAGCGGCUGCUCCACCUCUGCUGACGCGCCGGCCUUCACUGUGGAGGAGGUACGUGUGGAGCUGAGGAGGCUCCAUGGACGGAAAGCUGCAGGGCCUGAUGGGAUAUCACCACGGCUGCUGAAGGAGUGUGCGUCAGAGCUGGCUGUGCCUCUCCAAACCAUCUUCAAUCGGAGUCUUCAGACUGGACGUGUCCCUGCGUUGUGGAAGACCUCAUGCCUUGUCCCAGUGCCCAAGGUGGCAAGGCCUGCAGGGAUGAAGGACUACAGACCAGUGGCCCUAACAUCCGUGGUAAUGAAGACUUUUGAGAGGCUGCUGCUCCGGCUGCUCAAACCUCAAGUGGAGGGGGGGCUGGACCCCCUUCAGUUCGCCUAUCAGGACAGCAUGGGAGUGGACGAUGCGGUCUUGUUUAUGGUCCAUCAGGCGCUCUCCUUUCUGGAGGGAGCUGGAGGCUAUGUGAGGUUGAUGUUUUUCGACUUUACAAGCGCCUUUGACACCAUCCAGCCUCAGCUACUGAAGGGGAAGCUUGAGAGGAUGGGAGUGGAUCCUCUCUUUGUUCGCUGGAUCCACAACUACCUGACUCUGAGGUCACAAUACGUCCGGCUCGGGGGGUGUGUAUCUGGGACCCUGAUGAGCAACACUGGUGCACCGCAGGGGACUGUACUAUCCCCCUUUCUCUUCACACUGUACACUGCUGACUUUGCUCACAGAUCUGCUGCGUGUCAUGUGCAGAAGUACUCAGAUGACACUGCAAUUGUGGCAUGUGUGAAGGGUAGGGAUGAAAAGGAGUACAGGGAGCUCAUCGCGGGAUUCACCACCUGGAGCAGGGACAAUGGUCUUAUUCUGAACACCUCGAAGACGAAGGAGAUGAUCAUUGACUUUGGCAGGAAGCCCUCUCAUCAACCUGUCAUCAUCGACGGAGAGAGUAUUGAGGUUGUUCACACCUAUAAAUACUUGGGUGUGCACCUUGACCACAAACUGGACUGGUCGGAGCAGGCUCGGGCCCUGUAUAAGAAAGGACAGAGCAGGCUGUUUUUCCUGAGGAGACUUAAAUCCUUUGAUGUGUGUGGUGACAUGCUGUACAUUUUCUACCAGUCUGUUGUUGCAAGUGCUGUUUUCUUUGGGGUUGUCUGUUGGGGCGGCAGUAUGACA